rnacentral:rRNA from 1 species
GCCAGACUCCUACGGGAGGCAGCAGUGGGGAAUAUUGCACAAUGGGGGAAACCCUGAUGCAGCGACGCCGCGUGAGUGAAGAAGUAUUUCGGUAUGUAAAGCUCUCUCAGCAGGGAAGAAAAUGACGGUACCUGAUUAAGAAGCCCCGGCUAACUACGUGCCAGCAGCCGCGGUAAUACGUAGGGGGCAAGCGUUAUCCGGAUUUACUGGGUGUAAAGGGAGCGUAGACGGUGAUGCAAGUCAGAAGUGAAAGCCCGGGGCUCAACUCCGGGACUGCUUUUGAAACUGUGUGACUGGAGUGCAGGAGAGGUAAGCGGAAUUCCUGGUGUAGCGGUGAAAUGCGUAGAUAUCAGGAGGAACACCAGUGGCGAAGGCGGCUUACUGGACUGUAACUGACGUUGAGGCUCGAAAGCGUGGGGAGCAAACAGGAUUAGAUACCCGCGUAC